GGGAAACAUGCAGGCAUCAGUGUUCGAAAACCAUUGUUGGUUUGUUUAUAUUCCAGUAACUUAGUUGUGCAAUGGAAGAGGGCGGGGGUAAAGAAUACGCCCACCACCCGUUUACGGUGUAAGCCUAGCCCAUGCGUCGCAGGAGGCGGAAGAGGUCAAGCAGGUCGCACGUGUGGUCAUCGACGAAGGGACAGUUCGAGCAGAGAUGAGAAAUCGCACGUUGACGUCGGUUGUGUUUUUUUUACGCUCGUGAAAUUUGGUAAAAAAGAACAAAAAAAUAUGAGAUGUUAGUGGUAUAAAGGAGUUUUUACAUCAGAUACAUCAUGAACAUUGAUCAUCAUUUGAAGACUAAUGGAAGAUAUUAUAAAUAAUAUAUAUAACCCUGUUUCUAUUACAAAUCUAUGGUGAAUAACUGUGAAAUAUUUCUUUGGAAUUAAUACGAACGUUUGUUUUCUUCAUUGCCAAUAUUUUACAUUCUGUUUGAAUUUGGAAAAAUCUGUGAAGGUCUUUGUAUUAUCUUCAGAUAUUCGAGAAGAUCAGAUUUGCUGUAAAUAUAGCAGUAGAAGUAUUUGAAUCAACAAAGACAUUUAUAAAGAAGAAAAGAAAAAUAUAUUUUGGGGUCGUAUACUGUAGAAGAAUAAUGAAUCCACCGGAGAUGACAAGAAAAAAAUUAUCAGACCAAUGUGAUAUCUGUAAAAAGACUUUUUCUAAUAUAGCAAAUCUCACUGUUCACAAGUGUAUCGAUCCAAGUGGAAAGCAAUUUCACUGUGAUAUCUGUGGUAAAUCAUUCUCUAAGAAAGAUAAUCUUACUCAUCACAAAUACAUUCAUACAGGAGAGAAACCAUAUCAAUGUGGUAUUUGUGGUAAAUCAUUCUCU